rnacentral:rRNA from 1 species
UACGGAGGGCGCGAGCGUUAAUCGGAAUUACUGGGCGUAAAGCGCGCGUAGGCUGUUGUGUAAGUUGGGGGUGAAAUCCCACGGCUCAACCGUGGAACAGCCCUUGAUACUGCGCGACUUGAAUCCGGGAGAGGGUGGCGGAAUUCCAGGUGUAGGAGUGAAAUCCGUAGAUAUCUGGAGGAACAUCAGUGGCGAAGGCGGCCAUCUGGACCGGUAUUGACGCUGAGGCGCGAAAGCGUGGGGAGCAAACAGG